rnacentral:rRNA from 1 species
GACGAACGCUGGCGGCGUGCUUAACACAUGCAAGUCGAACGGAAAGGCCCUGCUUUUGUGGGGUGCUCGAGUGGCGAACGGGUGAGUAACACGUGAGUAACCUGCCCUUGACUUUGGGAUAACUUCAGGAAACUGGGGCUAAUACCGGAUAGGAGCUCCUGCUGCAUGGUGGGGGUUGGAAAGUUUCGGCGGUUGGGGAUGGACUCGCGGCUUAUCAGCUUGUUGGUGGGGUAGUGGCUUACCAAGUCUUUGACUGGUAGCCGGCCUGAGAGGGUGACCGGCCACAAUGGGACUACGAUACGGCCCAGACGGCAACGGGAGGCAGCAGUGGGGAGUAUUGCACAAUGGGCGGGAGCCUGAUGCAGCAACGCCGCGUGCGGGAUGACGGCCUUCGGGUUGUAAACCGCUUUCGCCUGUGACGAAGCGUGAGUGACGGUAAUGGGUAAAGAAGCACCGGCUAACUACGUG